UACGUAGGGUGCGAGCGUUAAUCGGAAUUACUGGGCGUAAAGCGUGCGCAGGCGGUCUGUUAAGACCGAUGUGAAAUCCCCGGGCUUAACCUGGGAACUGCAUUGGUGACUGGCAGGCUUUGAGUGUGGCAGAGGGAGGUAGAAUUCCACGUGUAGCAGUGAAAUGCGUAGAGAUGUGGAGGAAUACCGAUGGCGAAGGCAGCCUCCUGGGCCAACACUGACGCUCAUGCACGAAAGCGUGGGGAGCAAACUGG
rnacentral:rRNA from 1 species